UAAUGCUAAAUUCGGAGGUGCAAAUCAU
rnacentral:sRNA from 1 species